rnacentral:lncRNA from 1 species
ACUAGAAAAAAGUGGCACAUCCUUAUUCUUUCUAUUAUAAUCGUGCUCUACGAUCACCAAUAGAUUACAUAUUUGAAAAGCCAAUAGUAACAUAAGUCAAUACAUUCUUCAAUGAAAUAAAACCAUAGUCUGCGCCAAUAUGGGUUUACCCAAAGGAUCGCGAGUAACCCCAACAUCACUGUGACACAGGACGCAACAAAACUCCAAUAGAAUGCCACCAUAUCAACCGCACAUUCAUCUUCUGCUCCUUUGGAUGAUGGUUCUAGCAACUCUGGGAGAUUCGUGCAGCUCUUGUUAAUUGCUGGACCGCAAAGAUGGAGAUUUCCUCUAUAGCUGCUUUCAUCAAAUGUGGAAAAUUGCUCUUUGUCUGGGAUUGGGCCGGACAAAUUGUUGUAUGACACAUCGAAUUUAGAUAAACUGUGAAGUUCGGUCAAUUGAGGAGGAAUUUGACCAUUUAAUUUGUUGUGGGAAAGGUCUAGACUCUCUAUCAUUUUCAGAUUGGAAAAGCUCUCAGGUAUAGAGCCCGACAAGAAAUUAUGAGAUAAAUUCAAUCCAUGAAUAUUUUGAAGGUCACCAAUUUCUGAUGGAAUGUCACCUGUUAACUCGUUGUUCGACAAAUCUAGUCCUGCCAUUAACUCAAGAAUGUCACCCUUGUAAGAUUCAUAUCUGUUCUUUGUCAUAAAAUUCACCUCUACUAGUGCACCUAACAUUCUCUCAUCGUUUCCAUCCAGCAACAGUUCAACAGUAGAAUUAUAGUAAUUACUGACGUAUGCAUCGUCUAAAUACAUAGACAAUACGAAAUCAAACCCAUACAAAUAUCCAUUUUCUACCCUCGAAAACAACAUAUUAGUAAUGCAUGCAGGUAUUGAACCAUUAAGCCUGUUGUGUGAGAUAUCCAUGAUGCCUAAUUUUCGCAAAUGACACAAUUGAUGAGGAAUAGGUCCUUGUAGAUAAUUCCCUCUCAAAAGAAGAGUACGCAAAUUUGAAUGCUCAUUGAUCUGAUGUGGAAUUCUACCAAAAAAAUAAUUAUCCCUUAAAUCUAAAGUCUCCAAUGCAGAGCCUCUGAAAAAUGUAUUUGGAAUUGACCCACCAAGAGCAUUAUUUUGCAAAUAAAGGUGCUCCACUGAUGAAAGAUUCAGGGUAGAUAUCAUGGAUCCGGACAAAUUAUUUUCGGAGAUAUUCAGAAUUUGAAGACUUGCAAGAUUGUUGAAUUGGACUGGAAUAUUACCUUCCAAAAGAUUUUUGGACAUUGACAGAAUUUGAAGAGUUGAGAAAUUGCCCAUCCAAGAAGGAAUAUGACCAGACAAGCGGUUGUUGGAUAUAUCUAAGACCAUUAAUUCAGUGGACCUUAACCAUCCAUCUUUAAUCUUCCCACUGAAAUUAUUGUUGUACAAAUAUAACGCCCAUAAUCGAGUCAAGUUCAUGUAAUUGGGAAAAAUCUGCCCGACGAAAUUAUUAUUUGACAAGUCCAACCAUUCUAGCGAGAAGCAAUUAAUAACUAGAGAUUGGGAUAAUUCUCCUGCAAAAUUGUUACUAGACACGUCCAGUAAACGAAGCCCUUGCAUCUUGCCAAUAGAAGAGGGAAUAUUGCCUUCAAAACUAUUUUUCGAUAUAUUCAUAUAGACCAAUUUAGGAAGGACAAUACCCAUAUUCUGCGGGAGCUUACCACUGAAACUGUUUCUAGAAAUAUCUAAACUAUGCAAACCAUGUUGGGCACUGGUCAGUUGAAACCUUGAGAAUGAGUUGUUAAUCAAGUACAAAACUUCCAAUUUUGUGUUGUUUCCCAACAACCAAGUUGGGAAAUUGCCAACCAACUUAUUGUGAGAGAGAUCAAGGUAUUUUAAGUUAAAUUGGUGUAGAAGAAAUUUUGGAAUGACACCUAAGUUGCAGUUGGUUAAACUGAGGACUUUCAGUUGAAACGUAGGGAGGCAGUUUUCUGUUUCGACUUGUAACAAAUCGGAUUCCAUCGAUAGUUGGAAGACCUCAAGUUUCGAGAGGUUGGCUAAUGAACAGAAUGAAAACAAGCGCCCUUUAAAUUUGUUGUCAGACAGAGCCAAAUAUUCAAGGGAUGUGAGGUUUGCAAUUACUGAAGGUAAGAUUCCACUUAACUGAUUGGAAGAAAUAUCAAGAACUUUGAGGUGGGUGAGGUUGUUUAGACACCGAAGAAGAUGACCUUCAAAGUUAUUUCCUCUAAGAUUCAGUUCAAAAAGAUUCUUCAACUCACAUAUUCCUGAGAAGUAAAAAAUAAAAGGGUCAAAAUUUAUAAAAAGAUUCAAAUUCUAAAUUGGUGACAUUUGUAGUUUUGUACAUUUAACAUUUUCAUCUUUCAUAAAAUUACUUUUACCUUUUAGUUGGUGGUUCCUUGUUAAUUUUUAAUAUUAUGUUUCUUCUAUAGUUUAAGCUGUUAUGGAAAAAAAAAUUAUCCAAAGGCAAAAUUGACAUUUUAAUAUAAAAAUUGUUUAGGUUUAGUUUGCACAUACAUGUUGGAUAAUCAAUUUGUAUUAAAGUAAAUGGUCACAUUGCUCCUUCAGUUAGCCUCUUUUUGUUAUUGUUUUAAACUUCGAUAGCGUGAGGGAAGUUUACUAAUUAGAAAGAAGAUGACCCUCAACAUUAUUUCCUUGAAGAUUCAACUCAAAAAGAUUCUUCAACUCACAUACUCCUGAAAGAAAAAAUAAAAAGUUCAAAAUUCAUAGAAGGAAUGACUUUCUGGUUUUCUAAUUGUAGUGAAUUUAGUCCAAACCCGUAUGAUUUAUCAAAAAAUAAAUAAAAUCAAAACCCUGUAAAAUUAUUCCUAGAAAUCAAUUUGUAUUAUUCUCGUAGAUAAUGAUGUUUAUUUCUAAAGCAUUUCAAAUAAGAGUGGAACUAUUGGCACCAUUUCUAAAUAGCUCUUGACACUCAUUUCUUUAUUAACCCCAUUAAAAUAUUUAAAAUUAUUAUAAAAUUCUUUUAACUCCACCUUCAAUGAUAAAAAUACCCUUAUUAAAACUUAUUAGUGUAAACCCCAUUCUCUAGUUUUUAUUUAUUUUUAUUAUUAAACCCGUUUCUUCCAUUCAAAAGAAAAAAAAAAGGGAUUUCUUCCAUACAAAAGCAAUGAGAUGUUUUAGCACUAUAUUAUGAGGCAUAAAUUUUCUCGAUGAUAUUUGUGAAUAAUUAAUAUGACAGGAAGAAUUAUUUUUUAUUUCUACUGAUAUUUUAAUAUCUACCGUCACUUUUAGCAUUACUUAGAUUUGGAGUAUCUGAAUCAUAAUUUGUAAAUUAAUUUGCACUUUGAGUAAACUUGAAAAUGUGAAAAAAGCAAUUAAAAAAAUGGAAAUAUAUUAUCAUCUUGAUUAACAUCUAAAACAAUUUUUGUUAUUGAAGGAAGUGAAUUGUUAUAUACCUUGAAUUGUAGUUAUCCCACAAUAAUGAAGAUCCAAUGCUUUCAAGUUUGGCAAAUCUGCCAAUCCUACAUGCGUCGAUAAAAAAUGAAAAUAUUACAUUUAAAGGCAUUGUAUGUGAUCUGCGCGUUUGAAGAAUAUUAAUUCUUAAUUUGCUUCUUAUCUCAGAUUCAGUCGCUUACCUAGCGUUGUCAAAUUUCGAUUAUAUCCUAAAUCCAACACUCGCAAGUUUGUUAAAUUUGCUAAUCCUGUUCAAAGAACAUAAAUUUGUUAAAGAGCCACUACAAUCUACUGAAACAAAAAAUAGAAAGAAUGACUUCCUAAUUUUCUAAAAGUAGAUAAUUUAGUCAGAACCCCUAUAAUCUAUAAAAAAAAAUAAUAAUCAAAUCUCUGUUAAAUUAUACCUAGAAAUUAAUUUGUAUUAUUCUCAUAUAUUUUGAUGUUGACUUCUAAGUCAUUUCAAAUAGUCUAAAAGAGAGUCCAGCACUUCUUGUUCGUCAUAAAUAUUGCCUACUGCGUAUUGAGUACGCGUUCAUUGGACAUUAUAUCGGUUCUCUAAUUUUUUAGUUGUUUUCAUAAAUAAUAAAUGGUCUAAAAUACACUUAAUUCAUUUAUCUUGAAAAUUUAUAUUACCUCUCGUAACUAUUACCAAUACAAAUAAAGAAGUCACUUUUUAAAGGUAUUAUUAAUUAAAGGGGAAAAAAACCGGUCUUCAUAAUUUUGUCUUUCAAGUAGCAAGUUUGACCGACAAACAAGUCGCUAGAAAUUGGGGGUAUAUAUCAUUAAUGUAAGCAUUCGAAAUUAUCACGUUUCAAUGAAAAAUAACUGUCCACGUUUAUUUUAAAAUUUUACCUUGGCUUGCUAAAGAACCGUUUAAAUUAUUUCCACUCAAAUCCAAUGCUUCCAAGCUUUUCAAUUUAGCCAAUCCUGCACCAAGAAAGAAGAAACCAUGUUAAGGAUGCAGCAUUUUUUAAAUAGUUAAACUAUUUACGAAAAUUCAAAUAUUACUUGGCCAUGUUACGGAUAAGCUUAUACUAUUUUGACUAAUUGGCUAAUCCUGCUUUAUUUAUUUUGGAAAAAAAUAGAGGCAUAGAAGAAUUUAUUUAUUUAUUUUGGAAAAAAAAUAGAGGAAUAGAAGAAUUAAGUCAGUAAAUUUUUAAAAAAGUUUACAAUCUUUGGGUUGUUAUAUACAUUUAUCAAUAAUACUUUAAAAAGGAAGUGAGUUGGUAUAUACCUUGAAUUGUAGUUAUCCCACAAUAACGAAGAUCCAAUGCUUUCAAGUUUGGCAAAUCUGCCAAUCCUACAUGCGCUGAUAAAAAAUGAAAAUAUUACAUUUAAAAGCAUUGUAUGUGAUCUGUACAUUUGAUGAACAUUAAUUCUUAAUUUGCUUCUUAUCUCAGACUCAGUGGCCUACCUAGCGUUGUCAAAUUUUGGUUACCGCUUAAAUCCAACACUUGCAGGUUUGUCAAAUUUACUAAUCCUGUUAAAAAAAACAUAAAUUUUGUCAAUAAUAGUUAUGUUACUCUCAUCUAAAUUGUUUAAUUAAAAUAAUAUGAUAAAUAUUGAAUGAAAAUUAACUGUGCAAAUUGUUUAAUUAAAAAAAACUACCUUCUAAAGAACCGUGUAAAUAAUAAUUAUAACUCAGAUCCAACGCUUCCAAGUUUUUUAAUUUAGCUAAUCCUGCACCAAGAAAGAAGAAAAUUUUUAUUAAUCAUCUUUGGAAAAAAAAAGAAUUAAGAUUAAGAAAUAAAUUUCAAAGUUAGAUUAACUAAUUGUAGUAAUAAAGCUUAUGAUGAUUAAGAUCUAAUUAAAUUGAUCAUAUACUCAAAAAUGAUUUUAUUUUUUUUAAAUUUUACUAAGAAAUUAGAAAGUAAAUUUUUGUCGUGUACCAAUUGUAGUCAAGUUUGUCAAGUUUUCCUGUCAAAAAUUGGUUUUAAUUUGACAUUAUACAGGUGUAAAAAUUAAGGCCAUAAAAAUAUCACAAGGAAUUUGGAUAGUGAAUUGUUGCUGUAUACCUUGAAGUGUAGUUAUUCCACAACCACCAAGAUCCAAUUCUUUCAGGUUUGUCAAAUUUGCCAAUCCUACACCAACGAAAAGCAAAAUAUUACUAUUAAAAUUAUUGUAGAAGGUUGUGAUUAAUGUGCUAACUUGAUAAUUAUCUCAGUAGCCUACCUAGCCUUGUUAAAGAGCCGCUAGUUAUAUUGAAGUUCCAGCUUAGAUCCAACACUUGCAAGUAUCUCAAAUUUGCUAAUCCUGCUCAGAAAACAUUAAUUUUGAUCAAGACAAUAUAAAUAUAUAUUUUAAUUAAGAAAUUAAUUAAGUUGCCUGACAUGUAUAUCUGCUGGCCUGAAACGUAUAUGUAUACCUUGCUUGGUUCUGGAACCUUCAAUCUUAUUGUAACGAAGAUUCAGAGUGGUAAGUGAAGUUAGUGUAUUCAAAUAUGGUAAUAUGCUGUCGUUGAAGAAAUUAAAACCAAGAUUUAAGAUCUUUAGCUGCUUCAAACUCCCAAAGCUAUCGUAAGCUGCAAAUGCAUAUGAAGUGUUAUUUUUAAUUAGUCACUGACAAAAUAUUUAUGGACGAGAAAUAAAUGUAUACAUAUAUACGGACCUCUAUUCUCAUAGAUGCCUGUAAACCAAUUCUCAGACAAGUCAAGGCUUUCCAAUUCUUCAAAAGGAUGAAACAAUGACAUAUUGAUCAGAAGCGAAGUUCCAUCAUAAUAAUUCAAUCUCUUUGUAUUAUUGAGUGAGAGUUGCAUCACCCGUCGUGUGGUGGCGUUGCACUUAACUCCCUCCCAAUCAUCACAACAAUCAGACGGCAUUCCAUAAUCCUCACCAACCCAUGAAGGAAGAAUUUGGUCAUCAUAUCCAAUAUCACUGACUGAUAUGAAGAAGCUCUUGAUUUCCAACAGAGCAGUCCUCUCUGUUUCCAAGCAUCCUUUGUAUCCAUGCAUUUCAUUCAUCAAUACAAUAAUCCAAAUUAGUGACAUUAAUGAGAACUUAAUACAGGAAGUACUUUCCAUUGCAGAGCAACUUUUCAUUUGGUUAAAAUUCAAUGUGCAAUGAGGGAAAAUCAAUAUUAAUUUAUACUAAAAGUUUAUAGUAGGCCUCGCAAUUUGAUUGGCUGAGGAUUACUCAACCACUCUGUUCAAUAUCUUAAGUGGCCAAUACAUCGCCAUCUUUGAAGACUUGUAAGCAUUCCAUGUUUUGCAACGUUCAACCAACGGGAAAAAGCACUUCAUUAAUACCCCGUGGAAAAUAUAGAUAAAGUGAUUGUAAACUAUAAAAUUUUCCAAUAGUUUGAUGGAGAUAAUCAUAACUAAUAAAAUAAAAGUUGACUGAGAGAAUUUAAAUAAUUUAACUGUGUGUUUGGAUUUCCAUUGCAUUAUCAGUCAAUCUAUUAAAUAAUGUGUUUUGAGAAGAAUUUGAUUGGAUGUUUGAUAAGUUUAAAUUAAUUUAUUAGAAAAUCAAUAAUUAAUCAACGUAAAUUUUCAUGCAUGUUUAGUUUAAUUACUCAUAAAAUUGGGGCCUAAUCCGAAAUGACAAAACACAUAAAUGUUAUUUGAAGCUCUUGUGACCUGUUGUGUUCAUGCAUUUGAAUCAAAGCUCUACUAAAAUCAAAGCUAUUGAGAAUCCUUAACGAGGAAAGCUUCCAUUGGUCACAAUUUGCAGCUAAUUUCAUAUGAACGUGAAAUGACAAAAACAGAAAUUUCAUAUGAACUUGGGACAGAUGUAUGGGAUUCAAUUUAAAUGACCCUAUCUAAUUUUCCAUAUAUUAUUACAACCACGUGGGAAAUUAAAGUUGACUGACUUUUCCAAUUAAGCCAACAAACAAGUGGCCAUCAAUUCUUUUUCCACUAACAAUUAGUGGCGACGGUCAAUACUAUAAAAUAAAAGUUGACUAAGAAUUUAUGUAAUUGAAGAGUAUGAUUGGGCUUUUAUUGAAUUGUAUGAUUGGGUUUGCACUGAGUUAUCAAAACAUGUAUUCAAGGAUUGAUAUUCUAAAAUAUUUAGUGAGUUUCGAAAAUUAUUUUAUUAGAUUUUUGAAAAAAUCUAAAAGCUCAAUUUAUACAAAAACGAAAUUUUUUUGAAAAAAUGUUACAAUUAUUAUAAUUGGAAAAUUGAUUGAUCUUUAAAGAUUGAUUCAAUCAAUCCUGAUGUUGCUGGACAAUCGAUCUUAAUAUUGAUAGUCAAUCUUUACAGUGAUUGGUACACGUUAAGAUAAUGGGUUUUGGCCUCUAUAAUGACUAAGAAAGACUUGUAAGACCUGGACCAAUGAGGAAACACGCUUCAUUAGUACUCCAUGGAAAAUAAAUGUUGAUUGACUUUCGAAUUAAGCCAGCAUACAAACGGUCGUUAAUUCUACUUUUUCCAACGGGUGAAGGGGAUAGUCAACUAAUAAAAUAAAAGUUGAUUGAGGUAAUUUAAAGAAGGGAAAAGGACAAUAGAAAAGGACAUAAUAUCCCUCAACAUUUAAAAAAAAAGAUAUAUAACUCAUUUUUAUUAUUAAAUUCUAUUUGUUUUAAUAGUAAAUUUAUUUUUAAUUUACAAUUAUUAUUAUUAUUAUUAUUAUUAUUAUUAUUAUUAUUAUUAUUAUUAUUAUUAUUAUUAUUAUUAUUAUUAUAUCCUUAUAAUAAAUAAUUCAAUAUGUUGACUUAAGAAAUGUCAUUGAUAACGUGUAUAAUGAAAUCAACAACUUUUUAUUUAAAACUUAAAAUUGAGUUGUAAUUAUCUUUUAUUCAAAUUAUUCAUUAUAAAUUAUUAAUAUACCCUUUCCAAUGAUAGGAUGAUAAAAAAUGAAGAAUAAUAGGUAAAAUUAAAAUCAAAUUUAUCAUUGGGAAGGGUAUGUUCGUAAUUUAGAGUGAAUAAUUUGGGCAAAAAGUAAUUACAUCUUAAUACUUAAGUUUUAAAUAAAAAAAUAUUAAUUUCAUUAUACCUAUGAUAUGUUUUAAGUCAAUAUAUUAAAUUAUUUAUUAUAGGGAUAUAAUAGUAAUUAUAAAUUAAAAAUAAUUUUACUAUUAAAACAAAUGAAAUUUAAUAAAAAAAAGGAUUAUAAGUCUUUUUUGAAACGUUAAGGAGUUUUAUGUCUUUUUUUCCAAAUGUUAGGGGUCUCACUGUUCUUUCCCCUUUAACAAAUUUAAGAGUAAGUUUUGAGUUCAAAUUAUCAAAUAGUUUUUUCCACUAUUGAUUCUUCAAUAAGUGCUAUAUAAUUAAUAAUUCGAUAGGAUGUUUGAUAUAUUGAAAUUUGUGAAAAUCAAUAAUCAACUAAUUUUCAUACAUGUUUAGACAUUUUAGUAAAUUACUCAUAAAAUUACGAUUUACAACGAAAUAAUAACACAAAAGCGAUAUCUUAAGCUUGAAUUGAAUCCCUUUGUAUGCUUGCGUUAAUUUGAAUCAAAGCUCGAAUUAAAUUCAAAAACCGAUAUUGAAAAUUUAUAUAAAUGACUUAAAAGAGUAUGAUUGGGUUUACACUGAUUUACAUAUCAAAUACGUAAUAUCAAAUAAGUAAUACGUUCAAGCAUUGAUAUUAUCAGAAAAAAAGGGGGACAAUCCAUGUUUGUGUCAAUUGAUCUUAUUAAUUGGCAAUGAAUCUUAGUAGCGAGUGACAAAAAUUGGAACAAUCACUCUCGGCGAUUAAUAGUGUUUGUCCUCAUCUUUGUUUUGAUCCUUGUCACGGAGAAUCCGUGGCGUGUAGGAGAGGGUUCAUCGCUUGUGGAAUUUUCGUGGCCAUUCAAGAAUCGGGAUGGUUGUUGCAGAAUUCCACAGGGGUUGGCCCGCUGACCCGGUCUACGCAAUACAUGCUCUCGUGUCCUUUGAGAAAGCUCAUGAUUUACGAGGCAGAUCAUCAUGUCCUUUUUUUUUUUAAAGAACGAUCAUCAUGUACUUAUUAUCGGGUUUAAGUUUUUAUGAAUCUGAUGUCUUUCUACUGAUUUUAUUCACAUCCCCAUGAUGAUUUUCUAUAAGCAAUUAUGCUAGUUUUUUUAUGAAAUAAUGCUAACUGAUAUGAGCUUCUUUGCUUGUGUCCAUCGGAGAUGAAUUCAUACAGAGCAUUGUUAUUUAUAUUUUUCUACAAGCUGUUCUGCUGGUUAUUUAUGAAUUAAUCCGUGGAUGAUUGAACUGUAAUUAAGUUCCCCUUGGUCGACGAAUUAAGUUAAAUUAAUUUAUAAAUUAGAAUCAUAGUGGUUUAUUUUAAAAAAGAAAAAGGAAAAAAAAUAAAAAAAUAAAAGACGACAACAACAACACAUUUUAAAUACUGUAACAAUCUUGGGGUUUUGGGCAUGAAUGCCUCGCCACUUUCAUUACAACUCGACGCAAUUGGACAUGGUAUCUAGACAGGCCCAAAGUUAACACAAACUUGGAUUUUAUCUUUUUCGCGUUGGGCCCAUCAGAACACUGGGCUGGAUUUCCCCUUGUUGUAGUAAAUCGCGUUGCAUUUCGCCUGGAUUUCAGUGGAGAAGCAGCAAAAUGUUGCCGGUCCAGAGAAUUCCAGUAUUGACACGGUCUCGUCAACAGACUGCAAGCUCGGAGGGGGAAACUCUUGAUCGAACAUUAAUGAUGUAAUAAAGACCUCUUUAGUACUCACUUUUACAACUUUAAAAAAUUAUUUCUUACAUCAUUAAUGUUAUAAAAUUGUUGUUGUAAUGAUCAUAAUAAUUUUAAUAUUAAUAAUUUACAAACUGCAUUAAUGUAAGCUCUCACUUAACAGAAGGUUAGCAAUAAUUCAAGUGAUUAUCUAGUGAUUGUCAAGUUGCUCAGAUACGAAGGAAGUUGACCUUCAAAAUUAUUACUAAUGAGAUCCAAUUCAAUAAGAUUCUUCAAUUCAUAUAUUCCUGCGGAAAUAAAAGCGUCAAAAUUCAUGAUAAGAAGAAAAUGUACUUUUUAGUUUUCUUAUUGUUACCUGUUCAUUUUAAAUUGGUUCUCUCUAAUAUAUAAUUCCAUUGGAAAUUAUUAUGUAUACAGAGAAAUUCUUUUCAUAAGUAAUAAAUUGUCUACAAAUCAUGACAAUGCACUUAACCUAUCUUAAAAUUAAAAUUAUCAUGUUUUUAUUGGAAAAAUAACUGCUAAUUGUUUCUAAAGUUUACCUUCGCCUUCCAAAGAACCUUUUAUAUUAUUAAAGCUCAAAUCCAAUGCUUCCAAUUGUUUCACUUAAGGGAAUCCUGCACCGAGAGAAGAAAUAAUGCUACAAGAUGCCGAAUUUCUUAAAUAGGUAGGCAGCAUCACGAAAAUUCAACUAUAUACCUGGCCAUGUUACCAAUACGCUUGUACUAUUUCUUCUUAGAACUAUAGACACUUGGCUAAUAUGGAAUUUAACUGGUGGAGUGAAUGGUCGUUUGCACGUCACUGAUGUCUCUAAUGCAUCACGAACGAUGCUCAUGAAUCUGAAAACUCUUGAUUGGGAUAAGCCUACACUAGAAACACUAGGGAUACCGGCCGAAAUUCUGCCCAAAAUUGUUAGUAAUUCUGAGAUUAUUGGAAAAAUUGGCAAAGGGUGGCCAAUUACUGGAAUACCAAAUUCAGGAUGUCUUGGUAACCAACACGCGGCUAUGUUAGGACAAGCUUGUAAAAAAGGUGAGGCUAAAAGCACCUACGGUACUGGUGCUUUUGUACUUCUGAACACAGGCGAAGAGGUAGUUAAGUCAAAGCAUGGACUUUUGAGCACUUUAGCCUUUAAGAUUGGUCCUAAAGCACCGACAAACUACGCUCUGGAGGGUUCAAUUGACAUCGAUGGAGCUGCAGUUCAGUGGCUCAGAGACAGUCUUGGCAUAAUCAGCAGUGCAAGUAAGAUCGAGGAAUUGGCAUUGCAGGUCAACUCAACUGGUGGGGUUUACUUUGUACCUGCUUUUAAUGGAUCGUUCUGCUGUUUCUUUUUUCCUGAAGUAUCCUGUUUUUGGUAUUGUUUCUUCUUAUUGGUUAUAGUUUUGCAGCUAUCAACGCAAAUUUAGCUACUCUGCUUUCUUUUGAAAAAUAUUAUGAUUUCCCAUUUUUGAGCUUCUUGUCUUUGAAUGCAGGUCAGUUGGUCUUUCUAGGGCUCUAGAAAUGUUUAUUUGACACUUCUGCAAGAUUUGUGUGGUACAUUCUUAAGAGAUGUUUUCCAAAUAAACUUUUAGCUGGCUGCUUGCUGAUCAGAAGCAAAAGCAAUGUUUAGAUUCAAAUGCUUUCAAAGGGUCUUACUUUGGGUUGGAAAAAAGAAAGAAAAAGAAAAAAAAGGAAAGUUUAUGUUUCAUGCUGUUUCUGCAUUAAAAUUUCACAACUGUUUCCCGACAUUUUAUGUUGAUUUGUAAAAUAGCCUGGCAGUUCUCCUUUUUUCUACAAUUUCCUUCUUGUACUCUGUGCGUCUCAAUUAGCAAUCACUUAAUUAGCAAUUAGCUCUAUGGAAAUAAUGGUCAUUUUGAAGAAUCUGAGCUUUAUUCAGACAUCACACUCUUUUCCAUUUUCUGGAAUCUAGUGUUGAUACUUUAUUAUCUUUCCGCCCUGGAAGGCCAUAUAAAACUGUUCUUAUCAUGAUUUACAGGCGGACUUGUUGGGAAGCCCAGUCAUCAGACCAGCUGACAUAGAGACAACGGCUCUUGGAGCUGCCUUUGCAGCUGGAUUAGCAAUUGGGGUUUUCAAAGAAGAAGAGAUUUUUGAUUCUGGAGAAAGGACUAAGACUUCAACCACUUUCAAGCCUGUCUUAAACGAGGAAUUCAGGAAGAAGAAGGCAGAAUCCUGGUGCAGAGCUGUUGAAAGAACUUUCAACUUGGCCGAUCUCUCUCUUUGAAUGAUGUCUCUGUGGUUUUCAUCAACCAUCCGUUGUUUUCCCUUUUCUCCUUUUCCUUAUCAGUCUUUACAUCUUUCAUGGUUUUUUUUUUUUUUUUCUUUGUGUAGAUUCUUGUGAAUUGCAGACAUAAGUUAUAAUUGUAUUUCAGGUGAAUAACGUUAUAAUUAAUAAAUGCUUUCUUCUCCUAAUUGCUUUUGUAUAGAUAAAAAUUGGUGCUUUUGUUGGUCUCCUCAUGCUCUAAGCUGAUUUAUUUGAUAGGUAAUUUAAUUCUUCUGCAAUUUGAUUAGAAGGAUCUCUCGAAUUCUGAUAAAUUGUAAAGCACUUGCAAGGCUUAAAAGCUAUGGGAAGUUGUUCAUUUGAAUCACGAGAAAAUCAGACGAAAGGUAAGUAGAAACCUUGAAUCUAGUUUCUGAAAAAACAUAUACCAGAUUGCAGAAAAGCCAAUAGAAUACGUAGUACUAGAAAACAAGUGGCACAUCCUUAUUCUUUCUAUUAUAAUCGUGCUCUACGAUCACCAAUAGAUUACAUAUUUGAAAAGCCAAUAGUAACAUAAGCCAAUACAUUCUUCAAUGAAAUAAAACCAUAGUCUGCGCCAAUAUGGGUUUACCCAAAGGAUCGCGAGUAACCCCAACAUCACUGUGACGCAGGACGCAACAAAACUCCAAUAGAAUGCCACCAUAUCAACCGCACAUUCAUCUUCUGCUCCUUUGGAUGAUGGUUCUAGCAACUCUGGGAGAUUCGUGCAGCUCUUGUUAAUUGCUGGACCGCAAAGAUGGAGAUUUCCUCUAUAGCUGCUUUCAUCAAAUGUGGAAAAUUGCUCUUUGUCUGGGAUUGGGCCGGACAAAUUGUUGUAUGACACAUUGAAUUUAGAUAAACUGUGAAGUUCGGUCAAUUGAGGAGGAAUUUGACCAUUUAAUUUGUUGUGGGAAAGGUCUAGACUCUCUAUCAUUUUCAGAUUGGAAAAGCUCUCAGGUAUAGAGCGCGACAAGAAAUUAUGAGAUAAAUUCAAUCCAUGAAUAUUUUGAAGGUCACCAAUUUCUGAUGGAAUGUCACCUGUUAACUCGUUGUUCGACAAAUCUAGUCCUGCCAUUAACUCAAGAAUGUCACCCUUGUAAGAUUCAUAUCUGUUCUUUGUCAUAAAAUUCACCUC